GCACUGGUGGUUCAGUGGUAGAAUUUUUGCCUCUCAUUUAGGAGACCCAGGUUUGAUUCUUUGCCAAUGCA
rnacentral:tRNA from 1 species